CAUAAACUGAUUAAAUACUUAAUGUCUUUUUUUAUGACAUUAAAGAUACCGUCGUCUUCGUUUAUUCACUAUUAAAGUCUCUCCAAUCCCUUAAAUGUGACAUGUGGGGGCGCAUACGUCGGGAGGGAAAGGAAUCUGUAAUGUCGGCUAAAUGUCUGUCGUGGUCUGACUUUUUGACACAAUUUGACAUCAUGUAUUUCGGUUUUUACUUGAAAAAGAGGAAAAAUUUCGGUACCGGUGCCAAAGUCACAACGCCAUGGGCGUGGAUGGUCUUCAAAGGGAUAUGCAGUAGGAAAAUUUUUCUUUGAGGUGUUUACAUUGUUAUCGGAAUGCGUCUCAGGAAUUAUUAAGCUGGAUUCUGGAUCACGUUUAAUAUUUGCUGGGGAACUUGAAGAAGUAGGAACAGGUAGCGGCGACUUGGAACCAUGGAGGAACAAAGUAGGAACAGAGCCGGGUUUAAGUCUUUUAUUUGUAUAAUAACAACUUCUCUCAAAGUGUUUACCACAAAUGUAUAAAUUAUGUGCAAUAUUAUCACCUGAAAUGGUUUUAAUAGUUAUACAUUCCCUUAUUAGGUCAAAGAUUUAUGUUGGGGUACCUACUUGUAGCAUUAAAAACCUUUUUGCACCACCUUUUGUUCACAGUGUUUGAAGGGAAUCUGUGCAUUAUUUUGUGGUCUCUAGGAUCUUUGAUUACCCGACAAGCAGGCACAGAGCAAUAUUUUUUCGACAUUUUGAUAAUAUCAAUUCAAGCACAAACUGUUUUGGCGCGUGACAAAACGGAUUAAUUACAGGUUCCUGUAACUCCCGAAGGGGGUGACAUCUUUUGAUAUUUUCCCUUUUGACAAGUCGGACGAUUGUAACCAAUUGGAGAGACUUUAAUAGUGAAUCAACGAAGACGACGAAAGAUACCAUAAAAUUUUCGCUGUAACGUAUCGUUGUUUCCAAAAAAUUUAGGACAAAUGACAUUAGCAUGAAAGUCAUGUUCCCAUUGCUUUUUAUUGAUAUUAUGAGCCCUGAUUUGUUCAUCUUGCCCAAAUUUUUUUGGAAACGACCGUAGUUUAUUAAAAUGGCAUAUGACUUACUGCUAUCAAACGCACCUUGUACUAAUUUUUAAUACUUAAAUACUUUAAAACCACAGUUUAAUAGUUUAUUCAGUUAGAGUUUCUCUCAAGAAGCAGUGAACCUCCUCCAUUACUGUCUCUUGUGGGCAGGCGGGUGUUCCUGCCGAUUGUUAUAAAUAAUACAAAUAAUUGGGCAUUUUAUCAGCAAUUAUUAUACCUUAAGAAUUGUAAAAAUACUGAGACAUCAUUGAACAUUGUGUUAUGUUAACCUGUUUCAUUAGUGCAAUGUAUUUGCAACCAUUUUUUUAACAGCCUGUGAUAGACUAUUAGACUAUUAAAGUAAAAUGACAGUUGGGUGUUUAUUUCUUUUUCAGUUUAUAAAAAAAAACUUAUAAAGAACAAAAAUGUGGAAGAUGAGUGUAAUAAGGGACUACCACUUUAUUGUACAAACAAGUAAUCUGUUUCAGUUUCAGUGUCAUUUAAGUAAAUAUUCGAACUAUUGUCUUUCACGCUAAACAACUAAACUUCGUAUUAAUUAGCAACUUAUCUCAGUUUAUAAUAGAGUAUUACGUGUUAAACAAGCAUAUAUGGGACAAAAUACGAUAAUGGGCAAAAACGUGUUCCUACCACAUUUAUCUGUGUUUUCUUUUAAUUUUUUCUUAAAUAUUGAAUUUAUCAUAAACAAUGACUUUAUAAUUAUUAGAUAUUACACAGUUCACUAAUAUUAAGUGGUACACAGUUGUGGUUUUCCAUUAAACUUUUAACAAAUGUAACGCCGGUCCCCUGUCCCCAGGCGAUAUUUACAAAAUGCUUCGUAUUGUGGGCAACUGCUGCAUUCAUGUUAUUUAAAGUGAACCAAGAGCUAUAAGGUUAUAUGGCCAUCAUAAAAGUAGUUGACCGCCAAUAAAUAUCCCCUUUGUGUGGUUCGGACUAAGCUUACCGGUUGGCAAUAAAUCACCUUCUGAACAUUUCUUGCUCAUAUUUAACAGGGCCGGCUUUCAAAGCGAGUGGUUAUUUCGGAACCCUCAGCGGCUGCAGGUAGUAAAGAAAUAGUGGAGUGGUGGAUUUUCAUAUUUAGUGAAAGCCGCCCCUGAACGAAACCACAAGAGCCGGUCGAGCCGCAGUGGACACGUUAUUUACGACCCUAAAACCUUUUCUAUUGUAAACAACUUAACUUCGACACAAUGGGAUGAUUUUAUGAUGGCCAUAUAACCUUAUAGCUCUUGGUUCACUAUACGUAUAAUUUAUUUUUGUAAACUCAAUACCGUGAAAAUUUAUUUAAACAUGAUUAAAAGUCUUUUAAUUGCUUUAUUGUUGCACAAAAAAAAUAAAUAAAUGUGUACCUACAAAUGCAUCAUUUAAGAUUUGGUAAGCAUUUAUGGAUAUUGUUAUCAUUGCUUUUAACUAAAGAAGCUGUGACUGCUUCUGACAAGUUGACAAAGUGAGUGAAAAAAAUGGCCAAACAGAAAAUGAAGAAAACUGCAGCUGAAAACGAGAAUAUGAACGUGAAAAGAAAAAAAAAACGUGCAAGAAUGUCGGAAAAAGAUGGAAAUUUAAAAAGAAUGAAA